rnacentral:rRNA from 1 species
UACAGAGGGUGCAAGCGUUAAUCGGAAUUACUGGGCGUAAAGCGUGCGCAGGCGGCUUCUCAAGUCAGGGGUGAAAGCCCAGAGCUCAACUCUGGAAUUGCCUUUGAGACUGAGAGGCUUGAGUACGGGAGAGGUGAGUGGAAUUCCUGGUGUAGCGGUGAAAUGCGUAGAUAUCAGGAGGAACACCGGUGGCGAAGGCGGGUCUCUGGGCCGGUACCGACGCUGAGGAGCGAAAGCGUGGGGAGCGAACAGG